rnacentral:lncRNA from 1 species
GAUGGAGGUGACAUCUCCACAACGUGCCCUCCCCUGGCCAUCAGGGGGGCCCUGUGCCCCCACGCUGGGCAGGAGCCGAGCCCCGGCUCUGAGGGCAGCUGUGGAGGUGUGGUGGGGCAGAGGACCCCCCUGCUGCCAGCAGGAGCCGUGCUCUCAGAAGAAGCCUGUGCAGCGCUGUGCCUGCUGCCGGGCUGCAGCCGGGGCCAGGAGCUGGGCUGGCAGCAGCCUUGCCAGGCCAAGGGGCACCAGCAGCGGCCACGCUCGGCCUGUUCCCUUUCUGGCGGUCACAGUCGUGCUAGCCAGAGUGUGAGAGGGAAAGGGGCCCUGACAGCGCUAGUGGCAUGGAAACUUUGCUUUACUGGUUUGAAAAUGAAAUGCGAUUCUUCUCCUGCUGAUAGACUGCAGGUCUCAUCUGGAGAAAAAAAAAAUGCAAGGAAGUGGGCGUUAGCAGCAGCUCUUCAUAACUGCCUUGAGGUACCAGGGAGCUGUGGGACGGCCUGUUUCAGGGUUUCGUUUUGCCACCCGUCACUGCUGUAUCUUUGCAUGUACCAUAUAAAACAGCCUAGGAGAACAAAGCCCAUAGCAGACCUCAUGUUUGACUCAUCAGCUUUUUUUUUUUUCUUUUCCUGUUUACAGAGUUUGGCCUGGAUGAAAAUUCUUGUCUCUAAAUAUCAGUAAAAAUUUUCAGUUCUGCUGGUCUGGUUUGAGAUUUUGAAAUUAUUAGAGAGUAAGGCAGUUAAGAAGCACAUUUUAAAAUAUACAUUUAGAUGUCUAGCUAUUAGUUUAAUCAGAAAGAUGUCAGAGAAGAAAUCUUCCAUGAGUUAGCAGUCAUAUUUAUUUCCUGAGCAGCUUUCACUGCAGUGUUACAGAGCGUCUGAGGUGUUUUGAGAUCAACAUUCAAACAACAGUCCAAACCACAACGGGGAGAAAUGCGUUGUUUCUUCCCCAGAAUUUCUUUUCUUGGAGCCUUUGUGUUAUUUAUGAUUUAUGGUUUAGUUCUGUUCUCAGAAAAUGAUCCCUGUCUCUCAUGAUUUUUCAUAGCAGAUCUCCAUACUUACUUUGGCUACUGGAUUUGUUUAUUUCAACCUGGAAUUUUUAAAACAAGCUCAGGUUCUUUC